rnacentral:rRNA from 1 species
ACGGAAGGCAGCAGUGGGGAAUAUUGCACAAUGGGCGCAAGCCUGAUGCAGCGACGCCGCGUGAGCGAAGAAGUAUUUCGGUAUGUAAAGCUCUAUCAGCAGGGAAGAAAAUGACGGUACCUGACUAAGAAGCUCCGGCUAAAUACGUGCCAGCAGCCGCGGUAGUACGUAUGGAGCAAGCGUUAUCCGGAUUUACUGGGUGUAAAGGGAGCGUAGACGGAACAGCAAGUCUGAUGUGAAAGGCAGGGGCUCAACUCCUGGACUGCAUUGGAAACUGCUGAUCUUGAGUGCCGGAGAGGUAAGCGGAAUUCCUAGUGUAGCGGUGAAAUGCGUAGAUAUUAGGAGGAACACCAGUGGCGAAGGCGGCUUACUGGACGGUAACUGACGUUGAGGCUCGAAAGCGUGGGGAGCAAACAGGAUUAGAUACCCUGGUA